GCAGAAGUGGCGGAAUUGGCAGACGCGCACGGUUCAGGUCCGUGUGGUAGCAAUACCUUGUGGGUUCGACUCCCAUCUUCUGCA
rnacentral:tRNA from 16 species